AAGACAACUUUACGGAGUUGACGAUUGAUGGAGCGAAGCGACGUCAAAGCGUUCAUUAAAGUCGAGUUGGCUUAGGGAUACGUUCGUUGGGUAGGGGAGCGUUCUGUAAGCCUGUGAAGGUGGCCUGUGAGGGUUGCUGGAGGUAUCAGAAGUGCGAAUGCUGACAUAAGUAACGAUAAAGCGGGUGAAAAGCCCGCUCGCCGGAAGACCAAGGGUUCCUGUCCAACGUUAAUCGGGGCAGGGUGAGUCGACCCCUAAGGCGAGGCCGAAAGGCGUAGUCGAUGGGAAACGGGUUAAUAUUCCCGUACUUGGUGUUACUGCGAAGGGGGGACGGAGAAGGCUAUGUUGGCCGGGCGACGGUUGUCCCGGUUUAAGCGUGUAGGUGUGUGUUCCAGGUAAAUCCGGUUCACUUUAACACUGAGGCGUGAUGACGAGGCACUACGGUGCUGAAGCAACAAAUGCCCUGCUUCCAGGAAAAGCCUCUAAGCAUCAGGUAACAUCAAAUCGUACCCCAAACCGACACAGGUGGUCAGGUAGAGAAUACCAAGGCGCUUGAGAGAACUCGGGUGAAGGAACUAGGCAAAAUGGUGCCGUAACUUCGGGAGAAGGCACGCUGACACGUAGGUGAAGUGAUUUACUCAUGGAGCUGAAGUCAGU
rnacentral:rRNA from 1 species